GAUGAACGCUGGCGGCGUGCCUAAUACAUGCAAGUCGAGCGAACAGAUGAGGAGCUUGCUCCUCUGACGUUAGCGGCGGACGGGUGAGUAACACAUGGAUAACCUACCUAUAAGACUGGGAUAACUUCGGGAAACCGGAGCUAAUACCGGAUAAUAUAUUGAACCGCAUGGUUCAAUAGUGAAAGACGGUUUUGCUGUCACUUAUAGAUGGAUCCGCGCCGCAUUAGCUAGUUGGUAAGGUAACGGCUUACCAAGGCAACGAUGCGUAGCCGACCUGAGAGGUUGAUCGGCCACACUGGAACUGAGACACGGUCCAGACUCCUACGGGAGGCAGCAGUAGGGAAUCUUCCGCAAUGGGCGAAAGCCUGACGGAGCAACGCCGCGUGAGUGAUGAAGGUCUUCGGAUCGUAAAACUCUGUUAUUAGGGAAGAACAAAUGUGUAAGUAACUAUGCACGUCUUGACGGUACCUAAUCAGAAAGCCACGGCUAACUACGUG
rnacentral:rRNA from 1 species